GACGAACGCUGGCGGCGUGCCUAAUACAUGCAAGUCGAACGCUUCUUUCCUCCCGAGUGCUUGCACUCAAUUGGAAAGAGGAGUGGCGGACGGGUGAGUAACACGUGGGUAACCUACCCAUCAGAGGGGGAUAGCACUUGGAAACAGGUGCUAAUACCGCAUAACAGUUUAUGCCGCAUGGCAUAAGAGUGAAAGGCGCUUUCGGGUGUCGUUGAUGGAUGGACCCGCGGUGCAUUAGCUAGUUGGUGAGGUAACGGCUCACCAAGGCCACGAUGCAUAGCCGACCUGAGAGGGUGAUCGGCCACACUGGGACUGAGACACGGCCCAGACUCCUACGGGAGGCAGCAGUAGGGAAUCUUCGGCAAUGGACGAAAGUCUGACCGAGCAACGCCGCGUGAGUGAAGAAGGUUUUCGGAUCGUAAAACUCUGUUGUUAGAGAAGAACAAGGACGUUAGUAACUGAACGUCCCCUGACGGUAUCUAACCAGAAAGCCACGGCUAACUACGUG
rnacentral:rRNA from 1 species